UUUAAGUGCAACUAUAAGUUUCCAUGUCGAAAGCUUUAAUCGUCCGUCUUAUUUAAAAUAUUUUUAUAAUUAGUAUUUUUAUUGUUAUGAAAUGAUAAAACAUGAAUAAUAUUUAUGUUUGACUUAUUUUUAAUUUUUUUUAAAAAAAUUAAAUAAGAUGGACGAUCAAAGUUGGGCACGGAAAAUCAUGACUGCACUUAAA
rfam:Oryza nivara chromosome 1, whole genome shotgun sequence.